AACAUCAUUGAUAACUCGGAGAGAUACAAAGCAGAAGAUUCAUAAGAAAGGGGGCCUUAGAGGAAAAAUAUCUUAGAAAAAAUACAAGUAAUUAAUCAUAGAGUGCCUAAGGGUUUGGAGGAGGCAUCCGCUGAAGUAGCUGAGCAAGCAGGUUUUGGAUGCUGGAGUUUACUUGAUGUUACUAGUCAAGUCUCGCUCUCAC
rnacentral:lncRNA from 1 species